GGGUUGUGAGGUUAAGCGACUAAGCGUACACGGUGGAUGCCCUGGCAGUCAGAGGCGAUGAAGGACGUGCUAAUCUGCGAAAAGCGUCGGUAAGGUGAUAUGAACCGUUACAGCCGGCGAUGUCCGAAUGGGGAAACCCAGUGUGAUUCGUCACACUAUCGUUAACUGAAUACAUAGGUUAACGAGGCGAACCGGGGGAACUGAAACAUCUAAGUACCCCGAGGAAAAGAAAUCAACCGAGAUUCCCCCAGUAGCGGCGAGCGAACGGGGAGCAGCCCAGAGUCUGAAUCAGCUUGUGUGUUAGUGGAACGGUCUGGAAAGUCCGACGGUACAGGGUGAUAGUCCCGUACACCAAAAUGCACAGGCUGUGAACUCGAAGAGUAGGGCGGGACACGUGGUAUCCUGUCUGAAUAUGGGGGGACCAUCCUCCAAGGCUAAAUACUCCUGACUGACCGAUAGUGAACCAGUACCGUGAGGGAAAGGCGAAAAGAACCCCGGCGAGGGGAGUGAAAAAGAACCUGAAACCGUGUACGUACAAGCAGUGGGAGCACCUUUAUGGUGUGACUGCGUACCUUUUGUAUAAUGGGUCAGCGACUUAUAUUCUGUAGCAAGGUUAACCGUAUAGGGGAGCCGCAGGGAAACCGAGUCUUAACUGGGCGUUAAGUUGCAGGGUAUAGACCCGAAACCCGGUGAUCUAGCCAUGGGCAGGUUGAAGGUUGGGUAACACUAACUGGAGGACCGAACCGACUAAUGUUGAAAAAUUAGCGGAUGACUUGUGGCUGGGGGUGAAAGGCCAAUCAAACCGGGAGAUAGCUGGUUCUCCCCGAAAGCUAUUUAGGUAGCGCCUCGUGAACUCAUCUUCGGGGGUAGAGCACUGUUUCGGCUAGGGGGUCAUCCCGACUUACCAACCCGAUGCAAACUACGAAUACCGAAGAAUGUUAUCACGGGAGACACACGGCGGGUGCUAACGUCCGUCGUGAAGAGGGAAACAACCCAGACCGCCAGCUAAGGUCCCAAAGUCAUGGUUAAGUGGGAAACGAUGUGGGAAGGCACAGACAGCCAGGAUGUUGGCUUAGAAGCAGCCAUCAUUUAAAGAAAGCGUAAUAGCUCACUGGUCGAGUCGGCCUGCGCGGAAGAUGUAACGGGGCUAAACCAUGCACCGAAGCUGCGGCAGCGACACUAUGUGUUGUUGGGUAGGGGAGCGUUCUGUAAGCCUGCGAAGGUGGCCUGUGAGGGCUGCUGGAGGUAUCAGAAGUGCGAAUGCUGACAUAAGUAACGAUAAAGCGGGUGAAAAGCCCGCUCGCCGGAAGACCAAGGGUUCCUGUCCAACGUUAAUCGGGGCAGGGUGAGUCGACCCCUAAGGCGAGGCCGAAAGGCGUAGUCGAUGGGAAACAGGUUAAUAUUCCUGUACUUGGUGUUACUGCGAAGGGGGGACGGAGAAGGCUAUGUUAGCCGGGCGACGGUUGUCCCGGUUUAAGCAUGUAGGCUGGUUAUCCAGGCAAAUCCGGAUAAUCAAGGCUGAGGUGUGAUGACGAGGCACUACGGUGCUGAAGUAACAAAUGCCCUGCUUCCAGGAAAAGCCUCUAAGCAUCAGGUAACACGAAAUCGUACCCCAAACCGACACAGGUGGUCAGGUAGAGAAUACCAAGGCGCUUGAGAGAACUCGGGUGAAGGAACUAGGCAAAAUGGUGCCGUAACUUCGGGAGAAGGCACGCUGGUGUGUAGGUGAAGUCCCUGCGGAUGGAGCUGAGACCAGUCGAAGAUACCAGCUGGCUGCAACUGUUUAUUAAAAACACAGCACUGUGCAAACACGAAAGUGGACGUAUACGGUGUGACGCCUGCCCGGUGCCGGAAGGUUAAUUGAUGGGGUUAUCCGUAAGGAGAAGCUCUUGAUCGAAGCCCCGGUAAACGGCGGCCGUAACUAUAACGGUCCUAAGGUAGCGAAAUUCCUUGUCGGGUAAGUUCCGACCUGCACGAAUGGCGUAAUGAUGGCCAGGCUGUCUCCACCCGAGACUCAGUGAAAUUGAACUCGCUGUGAAGAUGCAGUGUACCCGCGGCAAGACGGAAAGACCCCGUGAACCUUUACUAUAGCUUGACACUGAACAUUGAGCCUUGAUGUGUAGGAUAGGUGGGAGGCUUUGAAGCGUGGACGCCAGUCUGCGUGGAGCCAACCUUGAAAUACCACCCUUUAAUGUUUGAUGUUCUAACGUUGGCCCCUUAUCGGGGUUGCGGACAGUGUCUGGUGGGUAGUUUGACUGGGGCGGUCUCCUCCCAAAGCGUAACGGAGGAGCACGAAGGUUAGCUAAUCCUGGUCGGACAUCAGGAGGUUAGUGCAAUGGCAUAAGCUAGCUUGACUGCGAGCGUGACGGCGCGAGCAGGUGCGAAAGCAGGUCAUAGUGAUCCGGUGGUUCUGAAUGGAAGGGCCAUCGCUCAACGGAUAAAAGGUACUCCGGGGAUAACAGGCUGAUACCGCCCAAGAGUUCAUAUCGACGGCGGUGUUUGGCACCUCGAUGUCGGCUCAUCACAUCCUGGGGCUGAAGUAGGUCCCAAGGGUAUGGCUGUUCGCCAUUUAAAGUGGUACGCGAGCUGGGUUUAGAACGUCGUGAGACAGUUCGGUCCCUAUCUGCCGUGGGCGCUGGAGAAUUGAGGGGGGCUGCUCCUAGUACGAGAGGACCGGAGUGGACGCAUCACUGGUGUUCGGGUUGUCAUGCCAAUGGCAUUGCCCGGUAGCUAAAUGCGGAAGAGAUAAGUGCUGAAAGCAUCUAAGCACGAAACUUGCCCCGAGAUGAGUUCUCCCUGAGACUUUAAGUCUCCUGAAGGAACGUUGAAGACGACGACGUUGAUAGGCCGGGUGUGUAAGCGCAGCGAUGCGUUGAGCUAACCGGUACUAAUGAACCGUGAGGCUUAACCUUACAACGCCGAAG
rnacentral:rRNA from 1 species